AGAUGCUGAGGACUUGGAUGAGGACGGGCACCAAAUCUGCAUUGUCCAUUGCUAUUUCCCAGGUUGAGUUGCUGAAGCGGCUUCAUUGUCUGGGGACAUACCCAAGGUUCGUCAUCGCGUGACGAGAAGAUUAAGGACACAGACGCAAACACGGAGCGGGUCAAGUAGCGGAAAGUUUAAUAGGCAGGAAAGAAGAGAACAGCUCACCGGUAGAGAGCCGUCAAUGGUGUGCCAGAUAAGAAGCUAUGCACUGAAAAGAUGGAGAGGAGCGGCGAGAUUCUGCAUCUUAGCUUGCCUAGGUGGGGAGCCCAUCCACUAGAACUAGCUCAGGCUUAAUCUAACUGCAAAGAAGCCCAGGAAAUAUAGAAGAGAAGAUGAAAUAUUUUGCUUAAAAAUGGUUUAAAAUGACUUUUGCCAUUCAACUCGUAUCAGUUCAAGAAGCUCUGGAAUAAGUAACCACUGAAGGUAAGACAUCUUUUAAAUAAUAAAAGCCAAACCAUACUAUUCUUAACACCUCUCAGUUUCUCUAAAGCCAGUAUGACAAUCUUAAAAAAGGGAAAUAAUUACUCCUUUUUAUCCCUUAAAAUUUAAAAUGUAGUUUUUACCAUGUUUUCAGUAAGAUUCUCAUUCUGUACCAGAAAGGCAGUUCCUUAAAGACCCAAGUUUUAAAUAUUUAACUUUUUCUGUCCAUAAAAUAGGUAUUAUGUUUACAUAUUAUCAGUAACACAGAGUAUCUUGGUGUAGAACAUUUAUUUAUUUUUCCCACAAAUCACUGAAAGUUUAGGUCAGUGGGAAAUAAUUUUAAU
rnacentral:lncRNA from 10 species